UCCCUGGUGGUUCAGUGGGUUAAGGAUUCAACAGUGUCACUGCUAUAGCCCAGGUUCAACCCCUGGCCCAGGAA
rnacentral:tRNA from 1 species